rnacentral:rRNA from 1 species
CAGUAGCCGCGGUAAUACGUAGGGUGCAAGCGUUAAUCGGAAUUACUGGGCGUAAAGCGUGCGCAGGCGGUUAUAUAAGACAGAUGAGAAAUCCCCGGGCUCAACCUGGGAACUGCAUUUGUGACUGUAUAGCUAGAGUACGGCAGAGGGGGAUGGAAUUCCGCGUGUAGCAGUGAAAUGCGUAGAUAUGCGGAGGAACACCGAUGGCGAAGGCAAUCCCCUGGGCCUGUACUGACGCUCAUGCACGAAAGCGUGGGGAGCAAACAGGAUUAGAUACCCCCGUAGUCCCUGUCUCUUAUAC